rnacentral:lncRNA from 1 species
GCCCACCUGCAGUUCAGGUAUUGCCCGGCCGAUGCUAAUCGCGGCCACUGCCCUUACAAGUUGUCUCUCAUCUAGAGCUUGUCAGUACAACGGUUGUCCCAUGCAUUACUCGCUUAAAAAUUUAUUCAUGGAUGCCACCAAGAACCCACGCCUAUGCUCUCUCUCUCAAUUUGUUGAAACAUAUAGCAAUCUUCUUGUGUACUAAUUGACUUUAUGGCCAAAUUUUCUCUGUACAUGAUGCUACUAAUCUAAUAUUGGAAAAGAUUUACUAUGAGAUGAGUGUGUAUCAGGGUUGAAAAUUUUAUUUUAGGAUCCUCUUGUGGUUUUUGAGGACUCAAAUCAUGUAUUCUGUACACAUGAGUGAAUUUCAGUUUGCCGGAGAAGAGACAUUGCCAUGGCCGAUGUUGGCUGUUCGUGCAUGGACGUGCCUGUAUUCCAUUCGAAAACCUGGGAGCAUGCCCAAAAAGUUCAGAAAUAUCAAUGGUAAAAGUUAGAAUAUUUGGAGGUUGAUGCUUUGUGUGUGUAUACAUGGGUGCACAUUUUCUUUUUCAUGAUAUGUAGCUCAACAAUGCCGUAAAUUCCACCGGAAUUUGUUCCAUUUAGCAAUUUGUGUUAUGAUGAUUCAGUACUUGUUUACAAAAAAAUGCCAUUUUUUGCAGCAAAAUGUUUGUGAAAAAAAUGUAGUGAAACAUUGUGCUCUCAAGAGUGUUUGAUAUGCUCAAAAAAGUGUUUUGAUGAAUUGGUUUAUUUGAAGUUCAAAUUGGUUUGUUGAAGAAGGUCGACUCUAUCCUGGACACCACACAGCCUCCUCCCAGUGGGGCCCAUCAAGCUCAGGUCGUUCGUCGCUGCCACCUCCGGCCGUUCAACUACGCAGCGCUAAGACGUUCACCGCCAGCAGAAACAGCGACGAGCACGAAGACACCCUCUCAUGCUCAGUGCUCUGUCCGGCAUAACACAAGAAGUUCAUGUAAAACAGCUGCGAACAUUCAGGUACAUCAAAGAAUAUACUCAUGUGUGCAUAUAGAUGAGUUCUCACCUACCCAUUUUGCUCUCGAUGGUGCUUCUGUAGUUCAGCUUGAGUGUGUGAGAGAGAUUAGUUGAUGUUGUUAUCCUUGUUUUUUCUGAGAGAGAUUAGCUCGCCCCUCCUCCAUCGAUGGCCUACACCGUCCGCUAGAACCCGUCCAGGUGCUGGCCGUCAUCCUCUACCUUCAAUUACGGGUCAGCAACAACGUUGCGAAUAGAAAGGUCAGCAUCUGGCCCUCUAGAAGUUCAGUUUGUUGAUUUUCUGAAGUUUUUAAAUUGGACUAUAACCGUGUAUAUUUUGCAGGGCCCUGUGAAGUUCAAUUUGUUUUGCUUUCCGAAGUUUAGUUUGUUGAUUUUCUGAAGUUUGGAUUGUUAAUUUUUUGAAGAGAAAGGUUGAUUCACUUGCACUCCUCUAUCUAGUCCUCUGUGGUGAUAUCCUCGACUCCUCGGUUCGGAGCUAGCAGCGGUUCUUCAACUUCCCUGCUGUGUUGUCGCGAUUGUUGGUAAAUAAUUUGUUCUACUAUUUCCUUGUAGUAAUGCUGGAUGGGUUCCCCCUUGUUGUGGAACCAUAAUAAUAUAAGUUUGUCUCUGCGCUCCUGUUCCUGUGAUUACAAUAGCAGAGAAAAGUACCAAGGGUCAGAACCAAACCAGAGUGAACCAUACGAAUCAGAACAUGGUCAUUUGGAACCAACUCUAAUCAUUUGUUCAUCUAACUGCAGUAGAGACAAAUUUUAUACUUUGUUCAUCUACGGUGCCAAGUUGAGCGGACACCGUAGCGCUCGAGAAGAUGGGGAGAGGGUGUGUGGUGAAGAGAAAACAUAGGGUUUCAAAUUGUCCAUUGGUGGUAGCAUCUAAUCAUUUUACCAAAGUGUAAUGGACAUGUGUAUGUAUGUACAGUAGCAUAUUUUACUCAAACCGAGUUAUUUUUUUAAUGCACGAAGUUUGUCCAGCCAAAAAAACAUGUAUUAAACUGGUUUUUGUGUAUUUUUCUAACCUUUUCUACACCUUUCUAC